GUCAGAGCAGGUGACCAGGGGUGACUCAGGACGGAGCAGGUCACCAGGGGAACAGAUGUGAACUACUGAUUAGAACUGGUGGAAAAGGUUGUUUACUGAAACUAGAGGCAAGGAGACGAGGAAAAUGAGGAAGUUAAAGUUUAAAAUGGAGAACAAAGAAUUGAACAUACUGACAUACUGAUUCUUUGAAGAGAAAUUUAGAACUCACUGUAUUUAACAAGGAGUUCAAGGCCAGCCUGGCCAACAUGGUGAAACCCCGUCUGUACUAAAAAUAUAAAAAUUAGCUGGGUGUGGUGGUGGGCGCCUGUAGUCCCAGCUACUUGGGAGGCUAAGACAGAAGAAUCGCUUGAACCCAGGAGGUGAAGGUUGCAGUGAGCUGAGAUCACGCCACUGCACUCCAGCCUGGGCGACAGAGCAAGGAUCCAUCUCAAAAAAAAAAAAAAAAGUUUAUUCGGGAAUAGGAAAUUGCAAUAAGAAUAGACGUGCCAGAGUAAACUAUGUUUCUAUUCAGGGAGGUAAAGGAAGACAAAGGUUUUUAAAGGAAGAAUGGGGAGGAUUAUUUAAUUGUUUUGAAAUCAUUAUUCUUGACUACAAAGAUCGGUAACGAGGAUGACACCAGUCUGAGGUGGUGAAAUUGAAGCCCACGCAGCAGGGUUGCAACUGAAACUUCAUCUCCUCUGCAAAACCUUCCUGCAUUCCCAGACAACUUUUCUUCUGAGGCCUUGUUUGAUUCAUCCCCUUACCCCAGUGGAACUCAGAUAUUCAAAAUGGUAUUAAUUAAAACCACUGGCUGUCAUUGGUCCAUGCAUGGCCUUAAAGUGUGAACAUUUUUUAAUCCAUUACCUAGUCUAUAAGAACUGUAGAUUGACAACAACUUAGAUUUAAUACUACUCUUUUUCUAGUCCCUCUCUAUACUACCUCUCAUCCGAGGAAACACUAUCACAAAUUUUGUAUUUGUUGUUCCCUUGCUUUUUAACAAGAUGAUUCUAUUAGAUAUGUACUGUUUUGUCCCCCAAAAGUGGUGGCAGGGGAGUUCACACAAGGGAGUGCCCAAAACCGUCCUAGUUGGGGCUGGUUGGGAUUCCAAAGAAAGGAGCACUAUGUGCCAAGGUGAUCUGUCCAAAGCAUUUAUUAAGGGAACUUACAUAGUGUUGCAGGAAUCCUCCCCAUGGGUGGUGAGAGAAAAGGGACAUUCUACCUAGAUAUGUCUGCAGUGAGGGGGUCAGGGUAUGGAGUUUAUAUAAGGGUUUAAAGAAUUUGGCUCAGGGCCAGAGCUAGUUUCUUUCACUGUUUUCAGUGACAACUUAGAUACCUUUAUCAGUGCCUGGGAAUGUUCAAGACCCAAGUUUGGGUUCAAGCAUGCUGGGAAAAAAUCUGCAGCUGGCUAGGUCACAGAGAGGUCAAGGCACUCUGAUUUUCAGUCACAGAAUAGUCAAGGCUCUGUGAUUUCCAGUCAGAGAUCCUGCAAUCCAUUUUCCUGACUGGCUCUUACAAUCUCACAUGCCCAUCUCUUCCUAUAUGUUCCCUGAGCUGGUCAGAAAGGGUGGGAUCAUCGGCAAUUUCUUUCCCCUGGCUUUAUGAAACACUGCAAACAAAACCUACACUAACAGUAAAUACAAGUGCACCUGACAAAAUCUAAAAUCACAUUUUCCAAAAGGCUUCCUAGCAGAGCUUUCCACCAAGGACCCCAUCCUGGAAAACAUGACUUUGUGUAGACCACCAGGCAUACCCUAUGUGGUCAGUAAGCUGUAAUUGCUUUCGUGAGUGAAGGACGGAUUGAUUAACUUCAGCUUCUUUGUCUAGAAUAUACACACAAUGUUCACUUUUGUAAAGGGCACAGGUUCCCCCUUGCACAGAUGUCAGCAUCUCUAGGGCCAUUUGGUUUUGUAGACCACUUUUUUCACUGCAGCUGUUUCAAUGUUCAAGGCCUCCAUACCAUGUUUGGUGUUGUUCAAAGCUGUGGAGACAAAUCUCUGAAGGGCUUCCAGCUUCUACACAGUAUCAGAAGAACCUCCUGGAGGCACAAAUAUAGUCAAUAAGUAAUCCCACCAAGAAAAAACAGGUCUACUCCACUGACCUCUCCAGAUGGACUCAUUGAGGGAUACAGGAAUGGUGCCAGAGAUUCUGGAGUCAUCCAAGCCACCCCAGGGGAAGCCAGGGCUGGAG
rnacentral:lncRNA from 1 species